GAUGAACGCUGGCGGCGUGCCUAAUACAUGCAAGUCGAGCGAACGGACGAGAAGCUUGCUUCUCUGAUGUUAGCGGCGGACGGGUGAGUAACACGUGGAUAACCUACCUAUAAGACUGGGAUAACUUCGGGAAACCGGAGCUAAUACCGGAUGAUAUUUUGAACCGCAUGGUUCAAAAGUGAAAGACGGUCUUGCUGUCACUGAUAGAUGGAUCCGCGCUGCAUUAGCUAGUUGGUAAGGUAACGGCUUACCAAGGCAACGAUGCAUAUCCGACCUGAGAGGGUGAUCGGCCACACUGGAACUGAGACACGCUCCAGACUCCUACGGGAGGCAGCAGUAGCGAAUCUUCCGCAAUGGGCGAAAGCCUUACGCAGCAACGCCGCGUGAGUUAUGAAGGUCUUCGGAUCGUAAAACUCUGUUAUUAGGGAAGAACAUAUGUGUAAGUAACUGUGCACAUCUUGACGGUACCUAAUCAGAAAGCCCCGGCUAACUACGUG
rnacentral:rRNA from 1 species